rnacentral:rRNA from 1 species
CGGAUUGAAGGCUGAAAUUCGCCUUCCAUGAAGCCGGAAUUGCUAGUAAUGGCAGGUCAGCAUACUGCCGUGAAUACGUUCCCGGGCCUUGUACACACCGCCCGUCACACCAUGAGAGUUGGGAAUACCCGAAGCCUGUGAGCUAACUUAUAGAGGCAGCAGUCGAAGGUAGAAUCAAUGAUUGGGGUGAAGUCGUAACAAGGUACC